rnacentral:rRNA from 1 species
AUUGAACGCUGGCGGCAGGCCUAACACAUGCAAGUCGAGCGGAAGAAGGGUGCUUGCUUCUGGAUUCAGCGGCGGACGGGUGAGUAAUGCCUAGGAAUCUGCCUGGUUGUGGGGGAUAACGUCCGGAAGCGGGCGCUAAUACCGCAUACGUCCUGAGGGAGAAAGUGGGGGAUCUUCGGACCUUACGCUAUCAGAUGAGCCUAGGUCGGAUUAGCUAGUUGGUGGGGUAAAGGCCUACCAAGGCGACGAUCCGUAACUGGUCUGAGAGGAUGAUCAGUCACACUGGAACUGAGACACGGUCCAGACUCCUACGGGAGGCAGCAGUGGGGAAUAUUGGACAAUGGGCGAAAGCCUGAUCCAGCCAUGCCGCGUGUGUGAAGAAGGUCUUCGGAUUGUAAAGCACUUUAAGUUGGGAGGAAGGGCAGUAAGUUAAUACCUUGCUGUUUUGACGUUACCAACAGAAUAAGCACCGGCUAACUUCGUG